UUGAGCACAUCAACUCACAGUUAUUCAAAGGCCAUUGUCCACUCCACGCUGCCCAAUCCAAGUCCAGUCAACGAUUUGAUUUUCCAGAAACUUACUCCUCAAUUUUUUACAAGAACCCAACUCCAACCAUGAACUCCAUGAAGUUUGCCGUUAUCUUGGUCUUCGUCGUCCUUGCCGUGGGUGUGUCUGUGGAUGGGCGGAAGUGGGAGGACGGCGCCUGGGUGUACGACGACAACGCCGAGUGCAGCAACUCCAAGGACCUCGGAACCACGAACUGCUACCCCGCCUGGAAGGACACCGCCGCAGCCUGCACCGAGACCUACCACGCCCAGUCCCAGUUCCAAGGCUACAUCAAAAAAGAUGGCUGCACCUUCAGCAAACGCUUCUGCUGCAGCACGGGCUCAUUCUAAAUUACUUGAGUGCCAUAUUUUCGUUAUAUUUAACUAAUUUUGACCCUUACUUUAUUUUGACGCUAAAUUUAUUUGUGCUCGCUAUUUUAUCUUAUCAAAGAAAUUAAUUAUUUCUUGAUUUCAGUUACAAACUGUUUAAUGAAUAAUUGUUUUCAAUUUUUAAAAUUUUUGUUCGUGCCCUUACUUAAAAUGACGUGACUACAGAAUAUUAAGCAAUUCUCAAUUAAAUUAUUAUACUACGGACGUAAGUAUGCAAGAAUAUGUACAUAGUUUCAUUCAUAUAAAAUAAUAAUGCGGAUAAUAAAUGUGAAAUAAGUACUUAUUUACCAA